rnacentral:rRNA from 1 species
UACGUAGGGUGCAAGCGUUGUCCGGAAUUAUUGGGCGUAAAGAGCUCGUAGGCGGUUUGUCGCGUCUGCUGUGAAAACUCGGGGCUUAACUCCGGGCCUGCAGUGGGUACGGGCAGACUAGAGUGCGGUAGGGGAGACUGGAAUUCCUGGUGUAGCGGUGAAAUGCGCAGAUAUCAGGAGGAACACCGGUGGCGAAGGCGGGUCUCUGGGCCGAUACUGACGCUCAUGCACGAAAGCGUGGGGAGCAAACAGG